CCUACGGGAGACAGCAGUGAGGAAUAUUGGUCAAUGGGCGGGAGCCUGAACCAGCCAAGUCGCGUGAGGGAAGAAGGUACUGAGUAUUGUAAACCUCUUUUGCCAGGGGACAAAGGCGGCCACGGGUGGCCGUAAGAGGGUACCUGGAGAAAAAGCAUCGGCUAACUCCGUGCCAGCAGCCGCGGUAAUCCGGAGGAUGCGAGCGUUAACCGGAUUUAUUGGGUUUAAAGGGUGCGUAGGCGGGAUGCCAAGUCAGCGGUCAAAUACGGGGGCUCAACCUGCGUCCGCCGUUGAAACUGGCGUUCUUGAGUGGGCGAGAAGUACGCGGAAUGCGUGGUGUAGCGGUGAAAUGCAUAGAUAUCACGCAGAACCCCGAUUGCGAAGGCAGCGUACCGGCGCCCAACUGACGCUGAAGCACGAAAGCGUGGGUAUCGAACAGGAUUAGAUACCCCAGUAGU
rnacentral:rRNA from 1 species